AUGAAAAACGCUAAACAACAGGUAAAUGAAAAAUUGGGUGUGAACAAAAUGGGAAAGAAUAAGAUAAAUUAUGUUGAGUCACAGUCACCUAUCACUCCUUACAGGAGAAAUUUUCAGGAAUCAAUGAUGAACUAUCAUGUUUCAAGAGCUUCAUAUGCUUUGCGUCCUAAUCUUGUUGAGUCACUCAUUUCCGCUUUCAUGAGAAGAUUUCAGUUGUUUGAUUAUGGUACUUCGAGGGAUAACUAA